CGGCAAUCCUAGAAUGAAUGAGUUGUCAUGAGGAAAGAUGUGCAGUUGGUUUUGCUAGUUAAAUGAUUAGUUUUGAUGCUUUUCCCGGUGGACCUGGGAUAUCAAUGCAGUUAAUGCUUUGCUUACUUACACUAACUAAAGCAAAAGGAUUUUGUUACACAUGGGCUAGUUAAAUGCUUUGUUUACCUUGCUACUGUGUAUGUUUCCUGAACAUCCAUAAUCUACUGGAUUGAACUUUUGCUCUACCUGCUUUUGUACUUGUAAAUGGGUUUAUGGAAUUGGUGGAUGGCGGGAUGUCUGUGCAUGCACACUCGCACUCAAGGAAGAGGGGAAGGGUAGAUUUCCUUGCAUUCUCCAUGCAUUAUUCUUUCUGGGUCCCUGAUACUGCCACUUGAACCUGAACUCAUGCAAGCAAUUAACGGUAUACAACUGUCAAUAGUGAUCCCAUUUUGCUCAUUGAAUAUUCAGGUUCGUGAAGAAGUUUCACCUG
rnacentral:misc_RNA from 1 species